GUUUUUUCUGGUGAUUUAUGUUCCACAUCUGGCGAUCGGCUAGUUGCUGGACAAUCAUUGAGGUUAAGGCGUGUGGUGCCAAUAUUAGGUGUUCCAGAUGCCCUCGUCCCACUUGGUCUUCCAGUUAGUCAAAUAAACCUUCUUCCAGGAGAAACAACUGCAGUUUGGGUUUCUAUUGAUGUCCCAAAUAUGCAACCCCCAGGUCAAUAUGAGGGAGAAAUCAUCAUUACUGCUAUAAAAACAGAUGCAGAAUCUUCAACACAGUGUCUAGGCAGAGC
rnacentral:misc_RNA from 1 species